GACGUCGCCGUGUGUGAGGGGGUGGAGGUGCCCGACUGCGGUGAGAAGUGUGUGUGUGUGGGAGAUACUCACUCCUUGGCUUGGCUUUUCCCCUGUGCCCGCCCAUGCGCUUACGUUUGCUGUAAGACUCACCAAAACCUCCGUGUCACCCGCUGAAGUCACCUCAGUGUGGUGGGACAUGGUGCUGGAGGGGUUAGAUGAGGGUGCUGUGUGUCGCCCGGCUGGAGCCCUCCAUAAGGAGGAGCAGAGCGGGGGGCAGCGGAUCCCUGGGCUCCAGCACCCCCUGAAUCGCCCCGGGAAGGCGCUUGUUGACGAGCACUCGGUACAAAAGGCUGUCUAAGGACACAUCCUUGGGCGGUGGCAGAUUGCUAUGUGCAGGAGAGGAGGUUGUGCGAAGUCCUGCCCGUGCCAUCGCUGGAAACAUUCAACUUUACUCCUCUGAUUUCAACACAAGUUACAGAGUAAUACCAAAGCGACAGAUAUGGAUGCCACUGAAGGUGCCACUAAGGCAGCUAAGACAGAGGCUCCAAGAUGACUUAUCCACAACCAGAGCAUUUAGUGCUCUUCCAGUUUACAGCACUUUGCAGAGAAACCAGGAGAGAAGGAAGCAGCAAAGAAGAAAUGGAUCAAUGAAUGGAGGUCGAAGGUGGAAAACACGUUCAGCAACUUGUGGGUCUCAUGUAUGCUGACCCACCUGAAUAUUUUGACCUUCCCAAAGCACCUCUGUGGUAACAGAAGCUGCUCCAAGCUGAAUAAGUGAAAGAGAGAAGAGCUGAGAUGUGGAGUUACUGGGGAGUGAUGCUGCCCUGACAAUUCGCCAACACUUUCCCUUGAGCUGUGUUCUCCUGGUCUAGCUCAGGGGUGUUGUGAGGAGCAGAGCAAAGGUCCUGCCCUUCUCACUUGGCAUCUGGGAACUGACAGCUGACCAUGGGAAUUUACACCUACAUGUCAAUAUUACUAGAUCUUACUGAUAUUUUCAGGUAAUAACAACUGUAAAAUGGUUCAGCAUUGAACAAUAGCCUUUAGUGAAUUCUAAUCUGUACUAAAAUGUGAUUCUGGUGUCAGCGCUUUGAUAUGAAUUUCUGGAACAAAUUAAAAAUACUUGACUCUUAA